GUCAUUAGUUGCCAUCAUUUAGUUGGGCACUCUAAUGAGACUGCCGGUGACAAGCCGGAGGAAGGUGGGGAUGACGUCAAGUCCUCAUGGCCCUUAUGACCAGGGCUUCACACGUCAUACAAUGGUCGGUACAGAGGGUAGCCAAGCCGCGAGGUGGAGCCAAUCUCACAAAACCGAUCGUAGUCCGGAUUGCACUCUGCAACUCGAGUGCAUGAAGUCGGAAUCGCUAGUAAUCGCAGGUCAGCAUACUGCGGUGAAUACGUUCCCGGGUCUUGUACACACCGCCCGUCACACCAUGGGAGUGGGGGAUACCAGAAGUAGGUAGGAUAACCGCAAGGGGUCCGCUUACCACGGUAUGCUUCAUGACUGGGGUGA
rnacentral:rRNA from 1 species